rnacentral:tRNA from 1 species
GGUUAUGGCUCAGCGUUAGAGUGCUCGCCUAGCACGUGUGAGGCCCUGAGUUCGAUCAUCAGCACCA